rnacentral:rRNA from 1 species
AGAGUUUGAUCAUGGCUCAGAUUGAACGCUGGCGGCAGGCCUAACACAUGCAAGUCGAGCGGAAACGAUCCUAGCUUGCUAGGAGGCGUCGAGCGGCGGACGGGUGAGUAACGCGUGAGAAUCUACCCAUGAGUGGGGGACAACCCGGGGAAACUCGGGCUAAUACCGCAUACGCCCUACGGGGUAAAGCAGGGGACCUUCGGGCCUUGCGCUGAUGGAUGAGCUCGCGUCGGAUUAGCUUGUUGGUGAGGUAAAGGCUCACCAAGGCGACGAUCCGUAGCUGGUCUGAGAGGAUGAUCAGCCGCACCGGGACUGAGACACGGCCCGGACUCCUACGGGAGGCAGCAGUGGGGAAUCUUGGACAAUGGGGGCAACCCUGAUCCAGCCAUGCCGCGUGUGUGAAGAAGGCCUUCGGGUUGUAAAGCACUUUCAGCAGGGAGGAAGGCUUACCCCUAAUACGGGUGAGUACUUGACGUUACCUGCAGAAGUAGCACCGGCUAAUUUCGUGCCAGCAGCCGCGGUAAUACGAAAGGUGCAAGCGUUAAUCGGAAUUACUGGGCGUAAAGCGCGCGUAGGCGGUGUGUUAAGUCGGAUGUGAAAGCCCAGGGCUCAACCUUGGAAUUGCAUCCGAUACUGGCACGCUAGAGUGCAGUAGAGGGAGGUGGAAUUUCCGGUGUAGCGGUGAAAUGCGUAGAGAUCGGAAGGAACACCAGUGGCGAAGCGGCCUCCUGGACUGACACUGACGCUGAGUGCGAAAGCGUGGGG